rnacentral:lncRNA from 1 species
GUGUCACGCCCCCGCCCCGAGGCCGCUACCGAUUUGGCACGGUUCGGGCACGUUGAACGGACGCCGAACAGACAGAGUCUCCCCUGUCCACCCAAGGCUAAACAACGAGAUCAUGUACAACAAGUCCCCAGGAAAUCAACUUGAAUACAUACAUGAUCAUGCAACAACAGCGAGAGCACAAACAGUGCUGAACAUUACCAGAGCAAGCGUCACAAGUAGAAGACAUACAAGUGAAACAAAAGAGAGAUACUUAACUAUUCUAUUACAACCAUUCAGCUCGAUACAUUUAAUUACAACUUGCAUUCUUUUCCAAACUAUGAAUAUAAGCUUACAUUCUCCAAAAGAUAAACAUUAGUUUACAUUUAUCUCAAAAUACCUCACAUCCUAUACAUCAUCUACUCUCAAUACAUGUAUAGGGUAACUCUAAUGCAAAAUAGAAAAGCAAACUAUCAACUAGCACUAGGGCGCUAAGCCCAUAACGCGAUCCUCUGCCGAUCCGCUCUCGUGUGUACCUGUACCCCAAAAUCACACGGGGUGAGAACUAUAUAAAUAUAGUUCCCAGUGGGUUCGGCCGCCGACUCCGCCGAUCUUCCCACUAGGUCCAAGCUGGCACAGAUAGAUAGAUAGAAAGAUAUAUGGAAAUACUACUACUAUAUCUACUAUGCCAUCAAAUGCAAAGUAUGCAUGGAACAUCAUCUAGCAACAAUCUACUAUCAUGCUAAUAUGCCUCAACAGUGAAAUAAAUACAACAACAACAUAGUUAUGCAAUGCACUAUGUCUAAUCAAGGUAUGAAUGCAAUACUCUUAUGCUAUUCAUGUUAUUACCCAAUCCGCUAGGCUAACUUGCCUAAGAUCUCAAAUCUAGUAGGUGAAGAGCUACCUCACUCUUGUCUCACUCGACUCAUAUCUCAAAGGUCUGACCCAAUCUCGUGAGUCCCAGGCAAAGAGCUACCCCGCCCCUCGCCCGACUCACAUCUCAAGGUCCUAGGCAAAGGCUACCCCGCACUUUGCACGACUCACAUCUCGACCUACUAGGUACAGAGCUACUCCACUCAAAUCUCAUAGGUGAACAACAACAACAACUAUGGAAGCAAGCUAUCAUGAACAACAAUAAUGAGUAUGACUCAAUAGGUACUCAAAUCUCAUAGGUGAAGGAAUAGUAUAUCAUGAAGGCAUGAGCAAUAAGUAAGCUACUAUGAACACUAGUAAGCUACUAUGAACAACAACAACAACUAUGGAAGCAAGCUAUCAUGAACAACAAUAAUGAGUAUGACUCAAUAGGUAACCAAAUCUCGUGGUGAACACAAGAUUCACAAGCAAGGCUCACAUAUCAAUCUCCGAGGGAUGCCUAGCUGGACUAUCCCCGAGUACGCCUGCGGAUAACAAGCGGCUAUCCGAGCAGCAAGCAGGGCUGCCUCUCUAGUGACCAAUCUCCGGAGCGCACAACCUGGGGGGAGCGACCCCACUAAGCGCAGACAGGCAAUGUGAGCAAGAUCAUCUCACGAGCAACAACAACAACCUUUUGAGGGUAAUAUCAUCAUGGAAGCAAGGUAUACAUGUACCCAAUCUCAUAGUGUCUCAGCUACACUAAUGUUCUCAUAUCAAGGUCAUCAACAAUCAUAUGCCACUCAUCAUAGUUUUCUAACUAGAUGCCACUCGUCAUUUAGACUCAUUUCAACACUAGUUACAUCAUACUAGUUCUUUAGCAACAUAAGCAUUAAACAUCUCAUAUAGGGUCUAGGUCUUUAUUGUAGGGUUUUCAUCAUGUAAUCAUCAUGCAUACUAGAUCAUGGAACAAUCAUCAAGAUGUAUAGCUACUAGCAUGCAAAUAUGAGCAAUGACCAUAAUCAUCUAGCACCUAAGUGCAAUAAAUACAAUAUGCUACUUAAUCGAUUAAUGCACUCAACAAGUUUAACCCACAUUAAUCAUGCCCUUAUAGGGUUUCACCACACUAAGUCCCAAUCUCAUGCAUACUAGGUACAAGUAUUAAUCAAGUAACACUACACUCUCACUAGCAUGUCAUGACAUGUAACAAUUGCCAACUAGUACCCUGUAAUGCAAUAUCCCAAUAUGCAACUUGAUCAAUGUUAACUAGAGUUUCUACUACAACAACCAAUUCAUUACUAAGUUCAAGUCAUAUGUGUUUUUAGCACAAUAAGUUCAAUGCCACUUGUAAACUAUGUCUUUAAACACAACACGAGGUUCUUCUUUCAUUUAGCAUCAUAGGUUUACCAAUGUCACCUCAUAAUCCUUAUGUCCAUCACAUCAUAUAUCCAUAUCAUAAUACUAUAUUGAUCAUAAACAUCAUAUAAGGAUUAGGAAUGCAUGUAUUGUCAUCCUAUAAUGCAAGGUAUCGAUAUACAAUAUGCUACAUGUGAACGGAUAAGCACUAAGACAUAGGAAGAAGCCCGAUGACUUCGGGAUGGCACUCCCCCGCCUUUUACAGCGUUCCGAUUGCUCGUCGUCACUUGCAAUCGGCCUCCCGCGGCGCACGCCGCUCGGCUCGACCCAAUCCGUGCACGACCACCAAACGACCUCCGAUCCGCGAUCCGAAAAUUAAAGGUCUUCGGUUUCUUGUUACGAUGCUUCAAAUUCGUUUUCAGGAUUUUACGACGUCGCCUCGGCCCUCCAGGCGGAAACGAAGCCUAAACGUCCGUUUCUUUAAUAACUUUGCACCGGCUCGACGAAUCGCCGAACCGUCGCUUCCAACGCGUUCGUAGACCUAACAAUUAGGUAAACAGAGGGUUAAAAGAGAUCAAACCCACAUACUUUGAAAGUUAGCAUUUUGAGCCCUAGGUUUACAACUAUGCAAGAAAUCAUUAAAUUGCUCUAUGAUUCAAGCAUUAACCAUCUAUUAGGCAUCAAUGGGUUCCACUAAAACUAUUUCCAAAGCAUUUAGACCUAUCUUUAGAGAUCUACCAUUAAAGCCCUCAUUUUGGAGCUCUAUGUUACAAUAGGUAAAAAUCCAUCAUUAGAACUUAGGAUCUA